rnacentral:rRNA from 1 species
GAGGUCUUGCCUGCCCAGUGACAAGUUAAACGGCCGCGGUAUUUUGACCGUGCGAAGGUAGCGCAAUCACUUGUCUUUUAAAUGAAGACCUGUAUGAAUGGUGGAACGAGGGCUUAACUGUCUCCCCCUUCAAAUCAAUGAAAUUGAUCUGCCCGUGCAGAAGCGGACAUAGUCAUAUAAGACGAGAAGACCCUUUGGAGCUUAAGAUAUAAGAUCAACUAUGUCAAGAACCACUAAACCAGUUAAACUAAAUAGAAACUGAUCCCUAUCUUCGGUUGGGGCGACCGCGGGAGAAAACAAAGCUCCCAUGCGGACUGGGGUUAACCCCUAAAACCAAGAAAGACAUUUCUAAGUCACAGAAUAUCUGACCAUUAAGAUCCGGCGACCUGCCGAUCAACGGACCAAGUUACCCUAGGGAUAACAGCGCAAUCCCCUUCAAGAGUCCAUAUCGACAAGGGGGUUUACGACCUCGAUGUUGGAUCAGGACAUCCUAAUGGUGCAGUCGCUAUUAAGGGUUCGUUUGUUCAACGAUUAAAGUCCUACGUGAUCUGAGUUCAGACCGG